rnacentral:rRNA from 1 species
GACGAACGCUGGCGGCGUGCCUAAUACAUGCAAGUAGAACGCUGAAGGAGGAGCUUGCUUCUCUGGAUGAGUUGCGAACGGGUGAGUAACGCGUAGGUAACCUGCCUGGUAGCGGGGGAUAACUAUUGGAAACGAUAGCUAAUACCGCAUAAGAGUAGAUGUUGCAUGACAUUUGCUUAAAAGGUGCAAUUGCAUCACUACCAGAUGGACCUGCGUUGUAUUAGCUAGUUGGUGGGGUAACGGCUCACCAAGGCGACGAUACAUAGCCGACCUGAGAGGGGGAUCGGCCACACUGGGACUGAGACACGGCCCAGACUCCUACGGGAGGCAGCAGUAGGGAAUCUUCGGCAAUGGACGGAAGUCUGACCGAGCAACGCCGCGUGAGUGAAGAAGGUUUUCGGAUCGUAAAGCUCUGUUGUAAGAGAAGAACGAGUGUGGGAGUGGAAAGUUCACACUGUGACGGUAUCUUACCAGAAAGGGACGGCUAACUACGUG